GCUAGCUUUCAGGGAAAGGUUUUUUAAGACAGGAUGAAUGGGGGGUUGCAGUGCAUGAUCAGCUCAUGGACAUUCUUCUGACUGGUUGGUGGCUCAGGCUUGAUAGAAAUUGCUUGUCUGCAGUUUUAAAAGUUUGCACCUUUCAAAAAUAGCCAGGGACCUCCUACAGCAACAUGGAUGGAUCUAGAGACUGUCAUACUGAGUGAAGCCCGGAAGAGGCAGGCCAGCACCUCCUUAUCUGCACCCUCACGCAGCUCUGUGUAAGGAAAGGCUACUCUUCACUUUACAGUCCAUGAUCCCUGGGUUGAAGCCUACAGGGACACCUGAGCUCUACCCUGUUCCUGUCUGAGUUCAGAAACUCUCUGGAAGUCUGCUGACAUUGGGAGAGGGCAGGUUCACCCUCAUGUCUUCGGGGAGGGUGAGUAGGGAAUGGGAGGAAGACCGGACAGUUACCCUCUGGGGAGAGUUCUUCCCACUCGUCAGUGUGAGCCAAGAACGUCUGCAUCCCUUGAGAGCUGCAAGCCUCAUGUUCCACCCAGACCUGUGGAACCAGAAAUUCUGGGGUGCGGUCUGGCAGCCUUGCUUUAGCAGUCCUGCCAGACGAGGUCAGUGCACAGUCUAGGAGAGAGUGCCAACGGCCUUGGCACCAUUGACGUUUGGCCCAAAUAAACCCUUGGUC
ensembl:lncRNA